rnacentral:misc_RNA from 1 species
UCCGAUUCGUCACCGGCAGUCCCAUUAGAGUGCUCAACUGAAUGUAGCAACUAAUGGCAAGGGUUGCGCUCGUUGCGGGACUUAACCACUACAUCUCACGACACGAGCUGACGACAGCCAUGCAGCACCUGUGUUCGCGCUCCCUUGCGGGCACUCUCACGUUUCCGCGAGAUUCGCGACAUGUCAAGGGUAGGUAAGGUUUUUCGCGUUGCGUCGAAUUGAACCACAUCAUCCACCGCUUGUGCGGGUCCCCGUCAAUUCCUUUGAGUUUUAAUCUUGCGACCGUACUCCCCAGGCGGUCAACUUCAUGCGUUAGCUACGUUACCAAGGAAAUUAACUUCCCCAACAACUAGUUGACAUCGUUUAGGGCGUGGACUAC